UUGAAAUGAACUUGGUGGAUUGUUGCUGGUUCUACUAGAACAGGUGCACAUUCAUCAUUUUUAUAUUUCCACCAUGUGAACUUGUGCGUAGAAUCCUGUCAUUGGAAAUUGCUAUUUUAAUAGUGGCUUUUUCUGUUCUUCAGGUUCUAUGAUUUUUAUAUACUCCAAUGUAUGUUAAUGAACGCUGUGAAAGGGCUUAUAAAACCCUAUAAACAAAUAAUA
rnacentral:misc_RNA from 1 species